rnacentral:rRNA from 1 species
GCUUAGAAGCAGCCAUCCUUGAAAGAGUGCGUAAUAGCUCACUGGUCGAGUGGUUCUGCGCCGACAAUGUAGUGGGGCUCAAGUACACCGCCGAAGCCGCGGCAUAGUUUUUACUAUGGGUAGGGGAGCGUCGUGCAUGGGGUGAAGCCAUACUGUAAGGGGUGGUGGACUGUGUGCGAGUGAGAAUGCAGGCAUGAGUAACGAGAGAUACGUGAGAAUCGUAUCCGCUGGAUGACUAAGGGUUCCUGGGUCAAGUUCGUCUUCCCAGGGUGAGUCGGGUCCUAAGGCGAGGCCGACAGGCGUAGUCGAUGGUCAACGGGUUGAUAUUCCCGUACCCGUAUGCAUGCGACAAAGAGUGAAGCGGUGAUACUAACCACCCUGAACUGGCAACAUGCGCGCCACUUGUGGUGUGUGGUUGUUGGUGAUGCGUGGGGCCUGAUCCGUGGUAGUUCAGUGAUGGGGUGACGCAGUCAGGUAGCCGCGCCAAGUGUUGGAUAUCUUGGUGUAAGCGUGUGGCACGUCGACUUGUGAAAUGCGGUCGAUAUUUUGUGUGAGGCGUGAUGCGUAGCCCAAUUGUGGGUGAUGGUGGUGAUCCUUUGCUGUCGAGAAAAGCCUCUAGCGAUGUGUGUGUAUGGCCCGUACCCGAAACCGACACAGGUGGUCAGGUAGAGAAUACUAAAGCGGUCGGGUGAACUGUGGUUAAGGAAUUCGGCAAAUUGCCCCCGUAACUUCGGGAGAAGGGGGGCCCUUGCUGGUUGCAUGCCUUUUUCGGUGUGUUGCUGGUGGGGGUCGCAGAGAAUAGAGGGGAGCGACUGUUUAUCAAAAACACAGGUCCGUGCGAAGACGGUUAAGUUGAUGUAUACGGACUGACGCCUGCCCGGUGCUGGAAGGUUAAGAGGACCUGUUAGGACUUUUUGUCCGAAGCGGAGAAUUUAAGCCCCAGUAAACGGCGGUGGUAACUAUAACCAUCCUAAGGUAGCGAAAUUCCUUGUCGGGUAAGUUCCGACCUGCACGAAUGGCGUAACGACUCCCCUGCUGUCUCAACCACAGGCCCGGUGAAAUUGCAGUACGAGUAAAGAUGCUCGUUUCGCGCGGCAGGACGAAAAGACCCCGGGACCUUCACUAUAGCUUGGUAUUGGUGUUCGGUUCGGUUUGUGUAGGAUAGGUGGGAGACUGUGAUGCGUGCACGCCAGUGUGUGUGGAGUCGUUGUUGAAAUACCACUCUGAUCGGAUUGGAUGUCUAACCUUGGCCCAUGAUCUGGGUUGGGGACAGUGCCUGGUGGGUAGUUUAACUGGGGCGGUUGCCUCCCAAAAUGUAACGGAGGCGCCCAAAGGUUCCCUCAGCCUGGUUGGCAAUCAGGUGGUGAGUGUAAGUGCACAAGGGAGCUUGACUGUGAGACUUACAAGUCGAGCAGGGACGAAAGUCGGGACUAGUGAUCCGGCACCUA